rnacentral:rRNA from 1 species
GAUGAACGCUAGCGGCAGGCUUAACACAUGCAAGUCGCGGGGCAGCGGGGGAUGUAGCAAUACAUUCUGCCGGCGACCGGCGCAAGGGUGCGUAACGCGUGAGCAACAUGCCCGUCUCAGGGGGAUAACCGGUGGAAACGCCGCCUAAUACCCCAUGGUGACAUCCGGAGGCAUCUCCGGCUGUCUAAAGCUCCGGCGGAGACGGAGUGGCUCGCGUGACAUUAGCUGGACGGCGGGGUAACGGCCCACCGUGGCUACGAUGUCUAGGGGUUCUGAGAGGAAGGUCCCCCACAUUGGAACUGAGACACGGUCCAA